GUCUGCCGUCCAGACCCACCGUCUCUAAAGCGCAGGUUCUCAGACGUUCGCGUCAGAACCCCGCAGGGCUGUUAGACCCAGGCUGCGGGCCCCGCCCCAGACCGGGAUCCACCGGGUCUGCGGUGGUCGUGGAUCUACAUCUCUCGCAAGCUCCCUGGUGAUGCUGAGCUGCUGGUUCCAGGACCACACUUGGAGAACCGGCUGCUCCAAGGCUGGGCAGGCUGGUUUCCGCGGGGCGCCCACGGGGGAGAAAGCGAGGCUCUACGGGAAAGCUUCGUGCUCUGCAGUGGCGCUCCGCCGCCUCCACAGGCACGCGAGUCACCCGGGGCUCUUGCUGUAAGCGGCUUUUGCAUCACGAGGUGUGAGCCUGCUCGCUGGUCCGCUCUGGAAGCGCACAGGUGAUGCGGGUGUGCUGGGUCCUGACCAGACUUCCGCCAACAAGGCUGAAAAGUUCAGCUCGUGGUCACGCAUUUGAUUUCUAUUAAAAAAGAAAGAGAACAGGCUGUUCCCUGUUUGUUCCUAAAUAUUCCAAGCUUCCUGCUCUCAGUCAGUUGCCUGCUCUUCAGACGACUUGGACCACGAGUCCAACACUGCAAGAACCAAGGUCAGACAAGGAGCCCGAGAGUUUGCCGUCCUAAUCUGCCCAGUGCUGAGGCUGCCGGGUUGCGGACCACUCUUGGGAAAGCUUUGAGUGAGAACCACUGAUGUAGACCAGGCUUUCUCGCCUCGGCACUGCAUACGUUUUAGGCCAGAUAAUUGUUGUUGUGCGGGGCUGUCCUGUGCUUUUUAAGAUGUUUAGUAACAUAUCUGGCCUCCACCCUAGAUGCCAGGAGCACCCUCAAGGUGUGACAACCAAAAACUUUUCUAGGCAUCGCCAAAUGUCCCCUCAGGGUCAAAAUUGCCCCCACCUGGAAACCACUAUAGGUAAUUCAACACAUCUGAGAAGACUGUCUACAAGCGGAUGCAGAAGCCCCGGGCGGGCUUGGUCUGGAAGAUGAAGAUGUGUGUG
rnacentral:lncRNA from 1 species